UUACAAGAAAUAUGAGUAUUGGUAGCAGUUCGCGGUAGCACUAAUUCACCAACUGCUAUUAAAAGUAGCAAUUUCGGACAACAACUUUAUCGUAGCACUAAAUUAGUGCUAGGAUCAAAUUUUAUUAAAAAGAGAAAUAAAAGACGCGGAUUUUGUUUAAGGUAACAAUUUUGUGCUAAAAUUUUAAUUUUAUCCGCCAAAAUAAAAAAAAAAUACUUCGCAAAACACUUGCCCAAUUCAUUUCCUUUACUUCUCCGAAUACAUCACGGAAAAAACAAGACUACCAAAGCUCUCCCUUUUUUUCUUUUUUUUUGAAACACACCAAAGCUCUCUGUAUUCGAAUCGUGAUAAACCUAAAAUCACAAAGUCACAAGAUCUACACACAGAGCUUGACUCAAAUCAACCUCUCACGAUUCAACCCUCUCUCUCUCUCUCUCUCUCUAGGCCGUGAUGAAAGCUUUGUCUACAACGCUUGACUCGAGUCAGAUUCGAGCCACAAUCAGAGAUGGCGAGUGACAAAUAGAGGUGGCGGAGCAGUGCCGGUGGCAAGUCGGAAGACGUCUGUCCUUCAUAAGCAGAGGACGAGAAGACGCUUCAAUGGACAACGACUCAGAUCUACUCCAUAUUCAGAUGGCUCAUCCGCCGCUGCAUCUCCGGCUUUGUCACCGUGUCUCCGUUGUGUCUCCGGCUUCGUCGCUGCGUCUCCGGACUAUCCCUCUCAGGUGGACCUUUGCUGUUAAUGGAGCUUGCGUUUUUGUUUAGAGGAGUUGGUGCUGAAGUUGUUUAGAGCACAAAUCAGAAACCAGUUGAAGCAGAUGAAGUGGUUAAUGUUUUGGAACACAAGAUGUUGGAUCGAGGAGUUUAGGUUUGAGAUUAGCUGCUGUUGAAUCUUAGGUUUUUUUUGUUGUUGUGUUGCUCUGUUCUGUGUUCUUCGCUUAGCAAUUGGCUUAUGGUUAAGUAUUUUUCUUGGUUUAAAGCUCGUGACUUUAGAAGAAGGGAAUCUGAGAUUCGUGAAGUAGUUUUUGGUUGUGUAUUGUUAGCACGCUGGUGAUGAUUACUGAUGGGUUUUCUACUUGGAUCUGCUUCUUGCUGGAGAUUAAGUUCUGAAAACGUAAACUUAUGUGUUGAUUUAUCAAGUUAUUUAGUUGGUGCUUAUGUUUUCCUAUCUUAGUCAACAGAUAUACAAAGUCGCUUCCGUAUAUCACUUUAUCAGCUGGUUUAGUUUAAGCUUGGUUUCUAGUACUUGAGUGGCUGGAACUUGUGGCGUAUAUGUUGAUUUGUGGAGUAGUAAUGAAGAUAGUCUAGAAAGUAACACUUGAAUGUCUUUGGCUAAUUGUGGAUGUUCUCUGAAUGUGUUUUAGGUGAAACUGAUCCAUGCUUCUAAGACUAUUGCUUACCUUCGGGAGUAGCUGUUUCACGACAUGGAGGAAGUGCUUGGAGGAACAAAACAUGGAGCUGCUGAAGACUAGUGGCAAAGUGAUUUUGCUAGUUUUGAAAGUUAUGUAGUAGGUUGAGUUAUUAGACGUGGUAUGUGUAUUUAAGAUAAGUUAUGCUGUACAAAAUUAUGUAGAAUAUUAUUCAAAUAAAUGAAAUAAAAUAGCAUUACAAAAUACAGGAUCAAUUGAUGUCGUUCUUAGUUUUUUUUUUAAACAAAACCCUAAACCCUAAUCAUGUUUUUAAAAUUUAAAUCUCAAACACUAAAUAUGUAUUUGUAUUUUAAUUUAUAUUUUCGAAUGUAAAACUAAAGGAUAAAAAUGAUAAUUAGAGUUUUGUUAUAAAAUAUUUUAUAUAUAAUAGUUCAGGGGUUUAUAUGUUUAGUGUGAUAAUAUUAUACAGAGUUUGGUAUACUUACUACCCUAAACCCCAAAACUUAAUUCCAAACCUUAUAUCAUACUUUAAAUCCUAAACCUUAAAACUUAACCUCAAACCGCAUUCAACACUUCAAACCCUACGCAGUACAAACCUUAAUCUUUAAUUGAUACUCUUAACUUUUAACUUUUAUGAUAAAUCAUUUAUUUCAAGUUGAAUACUAUAAGGUUAUUAAAAUAAAUAUUUUCAUAUAGUCAUUAAUCAUAAUUGCCACAUCAAAGUUUGCUUCCAUCUAAAAAUAUAAAAUUAUAAACCCUAAACCCUUAUACAUUCAAAACUCCAAACCCUAAAUCAUAAAUAGUCUUUUUCAAACAUUGAGAAAAACUUAAUCACCAAACUCUAAACCAUAAACACAUAAACUCUAAAUCAUAAAAUAAAAUAAUAAAUCUAAAUACACCUAAAAUUGUAAUUAAGAAAUUAUAACAGUCAACUAUAUUAAACAUAUCAAUUAAAAUUAUUAAAAGAAAACGUUGCAUAACAGAGGAAAAUAAAAAACACAAAACAAAAAACAUCUCAUUGGCUAAUCUUUAUACACAAGGGAUUACCUAUUUUCAUUUUCGUCCUUUAGAUCAGAUCCAAUCCAAUCCGAUGGAGCAAUAUUUUUUCUUUUAUUUUAUCGGUUUUAUUUCUCAUUGGUUGAUACGUUGUGGUGAGGAUAACCAACUUUUAAUCUCUACCAUUGAUCAAAUCUUAUCUAACGGUUUCUGUUUCUUCUCGUCACAAGUGCCUCUCUCAUCAAUCUAUCACAAAGGCGUGGAUCACCAUUCUUUAAUAUCAACCGUUGAUAAGUAUUCAUCAAAGGGAUCAUAUUAAUUUAGUUCUGUUGUCUCUUUCUUCUUUUAUUCUUCCUCCACACAAUUCUCUUCUUUGUUUUUCCUAUACUCCUUCUGUUCUUCGAUCUGCUCAUUUCAUCUCUCUUUCUCGUUUGCUCAUCUAUCUCAUCUCUGUUUUUAUCCUUUGCUCAUCUUUUCUCUCCUCUUUUUUUUUUCCAAGAAAGUGAAGAGGACCAGUGCUGUGUCGGGUCUGUCCGUGAGCUUCGUCUCCGUUGACCUCCUAACCACACCACCACCACCAUCACCAUCUAUCCCAUCCGCUCGUCACCACCACCAUCAUCUCAUCACUCGUCGUCACCACCACUGGUGGACAAGGCAUAGGAGCUUGAUGGAGAAGGUGGACAAUGCAAAUGCGACCGGAGUAAGCGAAUAGAGGUUCUGGAGGCUGGAGUAAGAGAACAGAGGCUUGAGGCGGAUACUCUGGAGGCUGGAGUCUGGAGGCGGAGGAUUAGGGUUACAAAGCUGGAGGCGGCGGAUACUCUGGAGGCUGGAGUCUGGAGGCGGAGGAUUAGGGUUACAAAGCUGGAGGCGGAGGAUUAGGGUUACAAAGCUGGAGGCGGAGGCUCUGGGAGCGGCUUAGGUUUUAGGUUUAGGACCUUAGGUUAAUUAGUUUUUGGUUUACUGUUUUUAAAUUAGUUUUUGGUUUAAUGUUUUUAAUUAGUUUUUGGUUUAAUGUUUUCCUUAAUUAUUUGUAUACUGAUUCUAAUUAAUAAAUAAAAUUUAAUUUUAAUUCUGAA